rnacentral:rRNA from 1 species
GACGAACGCUGGCGGCGUGCCUAAUACAUGCAAGUCGAGCGCAGGAAACUGACGGAACUCUUCGGAGGGAAGGCAGUGGAAUGAGCGGCGGACGGGUGAGUAACACGUAAGGAACCUGCCUCAAGGAUUGGGAUAACUCCGAGAAAUCGGAGCUAAUACCGGAUAGUUCAACGGACCGCAUGGUCCGCUGAUGAAAGGCGCUCCGGCGUCACCUUGAGAUGGCCUUGCGGUGCAUUAGCUAGUUGGUGGGGUAACGGCUCACCAAGGCGACGAUGCAUAGCCGACCCGAGAGGGUGAUCGGCCACACUGGGACUGAGACACGGCCCAGACUCCUACGGGAGGCAGCAGUAGGGAAUCUUCCACAAUGGACGAAAGUCUGAUGGAGCAACGCCGCGUGAGUGAUGAAGGUUUUCGGAUCGUAAAACUCUGUUGUGAGGGAAGAACACGUACGAGAGGAAAUGCUCGUACCUUGACGGUGCCUUACGAGAAAGCCACGGCUAACUACGUGCCAGCCGCCGCUGUAA